UCCCAUAAGUGUCCGGUAAUUUGGAGGAGUGUUAUUUUACACAAAGGAAUUGGGUACAAAAGAAAGAACCCAGAGAAGCAUCAACAGGAAAUCAAAAUUUCUGUUUGAAAAUAGCAAUUUUCAGACAAACACAAUUAUCAAGUUUACUGCAAAUCAUAUCAGAAUCUUAAAAUACAUAAGGAAUUUUCACAAAAUAUCUUGCCAAAUGAUACAGAAUUAUAUGGCUGAACUAGAAAUCAGAUUUAUGAGGUCUGAUAACUCCCACAUCAACUACUUGAUGCUAAGAUAAUUGAUCUAUUUGAUGCCAAAACUUGCAGUUCCUGCUGCAGGCUGUUAACCUGUCAAAGUCGGAUUCUUAUUACUUUCUGCAAUUAUAUUUCUAAGAAAAGUCUCUAGUAGGAUGAGCAAAAGGUAGGUAGUUGAAUCUCUUAAAGUGAUUAGCACAUCUGAAGAAACAAUGCCAUAAAACACGAAAAUCAAUGAUACUAAAUACAAUUGUGAUGUGGGUAAAUCUUCACCUCACCUAUUAAUAGCUCAAGUACCUCGCCCCAAGAUACGGGAUCUUAUAGAUUCCCCUCUCCGAUUUAGAACGCCAGACGCUGUCUCCGAACCCUCUUGACCGAGGAAAACGAGUCUAACGUUUCAGCAUGGAGCCUCCGCCAAAGCUAUCCUCCAUUGAGCUCGCCCAGAGCAAAAGUGCUGUCUCCACCUCGCCCUUAGGGGCAAGGUGAAAUGCUUGAUCAUUCUCCACCAGAUCCCCCAUUUAUAACGCCCGUCUCGAGAUUCCUCUCCUCCACGGCACCGACAAUUACGGGAUACUCUCCAAUGGCAUCUUCCCAUGCAAUCUUCCCAAUUAUGUCUUCUAUAUCGCCAAGAUCGCCUUCCAUACUAUCUUCCGAUGAUCUCGCCGUGAUCCAUGGCACGGCGCCAUUACUCCAUCUAUCAAAAGGCCGCUCCCCCAUUAAACAAAAGGUACGCUCCGAAGACGUUCAAUUAAAACGGCCCUCCAUAGUUCUCCUCAGAGCCUAUUUUGCCUACUGUCAUCACCUUGGUCUGCUCGCCACGCAAAGGGAUUUUUUGAGCUGCCCUCGCCCGGCCGUUUACUUUCUGUCGUCUGUGCGGUCGCCCUUAAAGUACCGCUAGCCCAGUGCCGAAGAACCGAGCAAUAGUGACUUUGGUUGCUCACCCAAUUUUUUACCACAACAGUAUUAAGCGCCGUCAUGGGAACGACAGUUCUCUAACUUCUAUGCACCUUGCACGUCCAGCCGCAACCUACCUAGACCAAGCGCUAUUGCCCUCCUGGUAACCGGUCCGCAUCUUAUGGCCAACCCAGGCAAGUUCCAGAUCUAGAAGGCCUCCCCCGUGAGAUACACGAUAUUGGCCGAACAGAUAGGAUCAUGAAGGAAAAUGUGUCUGCCUAAAUGCACCUCCUCAUUGCGCUUGCCAAUUCCCCAACGCCCUGUCAGCGCCAUCCUCCCUGAUGUCGAGCGAUCUCCGCCACUCUAAUCGGCUCAGGAGAUUCGUUCUCCACCACGUCAUACCGAACGAGCGAGGGUUAGGGCGCCGAGCACCAAGCCGUCCUUAACGUUGAAAGGAGUUCCUCUUCAGAAUCUAGUCAAACCUACGAGGCAGGGUAAGAGGGAGGAUUCGGCCCCCAACCAGGCGAUUCAUACCGAGGCACGAACAAGUCCCACCUCGCAGAAGAUUAUUCGCGAUUUGACGCAACGACUAGAGCUUUACACUGGAACAAAUCUCCAGUAACCGUGGACCUCUGGUCAGACAGACGAAUCCACCAUUCACGAAAUGGUAUUAAGAGCUCGAUCUCUUCGACGUUCAAGCUCCCUACCCAACUCGGCAUUUAUGAAGGAAAGACGGAUCUAUGGAUCCACCUGGACUCGUCAAAGCCUAUGUCUCCCAGGGUUGCUCGGACGAGGUUAUGUGCAAAGCGUUCUCCGCCACUCUAAAGGGACCCGCCAGGUCGUGUUUCGAACUAUCCGCCAGGACCAUAGACUCUUUGGGCGCAGCUUAGUCGACUCUUUGUUGUCGCCACCUUUCAUGAGCUCCAAAAACCGACAGAAGAAUGCUUCCCAUCCCAACCUGUUCACCGUUUUUUUCACCAAUAGAGAGCGAGAAAAGGGCCCCCCUUUUUUGAAAAGAUUUCGUAAACGAUUCAAUCAGGCCAUAGAGAAGUUGAGGAUCCUAGUGACAAGUGAUAAUCAUGGCAAUGAUUGAAAGGGAAACCUUUUUUACCGACCUGGUCCACUUUUCGCGUCCCUUUCCAAAAACGUUCCCAAAACUUUAUCCACGCUCCAGAGCAAAGCGACAAUACAUCGCCGCAGAGAGUUAAGCCGGGCUCAACGAAUGCGACGAGGAAAAGAUGACCAUAAGAGAAAGAGCUGAUACGAGCUGACUGAUUAGAGGGAGGAGAUAGGUACAAAGACCUGACCUAGAUCCCAAAAUCGGUCCAUCACUAGCGUCCUCCGCAACCCUGCCUCGCGACACUGGUUUAUCCUGCCCACCACUCAACCCCCUUGUCGCCCAGUUCUCUCAGAACGUAACACGAUUCAUUCGUCAAAUGGCCCCGGAAAGAUCAAACUGAGCCCCCAAAGCGAACAGAACAAAUAUUGUGAAUUCCACCGGGACCAACGGACAUAAUACUGAGGACUGUUUUCAACUAAGAGCAUAUUGCCGACCUCAUAAAAGGGGUUACCUAAGGAAAUAUGUCGCUAAUCGCCCACGCCCAACUCCCCAGAAGAAGGUACGGCGAAAAUACAGACCACUGUCUGGCGAUAUACAACAAUCCACGAAGGUUUUUCGGAUCGGGCGGUUAAUUCGAACUCUUCAAAUUCGAACUUCAUCUAGGAAAAGGCAUGCCAGAAGUGCCAUACCCGGCUGACUAGUAAGUCUACAACCUCUCCUCAAUCUUCGUUGCUGCCCAACAACCCAUCACUUUUCAGCAAUGAUGAUUUGAGAGGCAUGCACUAAAACCCCACGACGAUGCCCUGGUGGUCUUGCCGUCAUCCGUCGCCAAUUUCCAACGUCCAAGGAUCCCUUGAUCGCACGGGAAAGCUCGGCGGAUAUCCUGUUUCAUCUCGGCGUUCGAAAAAAUGAAAAUCCGGGCCGGACAAGUUCAUCCUUUCGCCAUACCCCCGAUCGGAUUUGGAGAAAAUACGACUCACCCCUUGGGAUGGAUCAACUUACCAAUAACCCUGGGAUGCGAACCCUACCAGAACCACCAUUGGGCAGGAUUUUAUUAUGGUAGAUUGCCCCUCGCCUUACAACGCCAUCCUGGAGCGUCCAGGAAUGAAUCACAAGGCGAUCACUUUCUAUCUACCUAUCACCUGAAGAUAAAUUCCCCACCUAUUGGGGUAGGCGAAGUAAAGGGCGAUCAGAAGUUGGCUAGGCCCAAUGCCUUUAUCUCAUCCAGAAGGUUGGCACUUUCCAAGUUCAUUCCGCCCAUAGCAAUCACAGAAGGCGGGCGAUGGAGCUGGGAUAUUGGGAGAUGGAUAGAACAAAGCUUAUCCUGAAAGUACCCCAGAGAAACCGAGAACACCAAACCUCUAGAAGAGUCCGUCCAUUCCAUUCACCUAAACAACCCAAAUCGUCACCGUCCUGAUCGGACAACUCACCGAUGAAUUGCCGUAUCGCCUUGAUAGUUUCUUGAAAAAAAUUCUGACUGUUUGCUUGGUCACCACGGCGACGUCCCUGGCAUCGUACCCAGAAGUCGCCAUGCAUAAGCCUUUUCACCAAGUCCUGAAUCUCCCAGUUUUGCCAGAAACGGAGGAAGUUCGCCCUGAACCCUGAAAUCAUUGAAACGAAUAAGCAAUCAUCAGCAUGUUGUCCGAAGUCCCCUAUCCGGAUUGGCUCGCCAAUGUCUUCGUCGGCCCCCAAAAGGGGGGAAGUGGAGGGUGUGCGUGGACUGUUCAUCACCGACCUCAACACGGCUUGCCCGAAAGACAGUUUUUCUUGCCUAAAAAUCGAUCUGAUAGUCGACGCCAACACCUCCCAAGCAUGAGCUUUUAAUUGAUCUUUAAUGGAUGCCUUCUCGGUUAAUCAUCAAAUCAAAAUGUCUCCUCCCUGACGUUGAGAAAACUUACUUUAUCACCGGAACAGGGGCUAUUGGCUACAAAUUCUGCCGUUCGGGUUAAGAACGCCGGGGCAACGUAUCAGAGCUGGUCACAAGAUGUUCAAUGCACAAUUGGGAAGACUAUGGAAGUGUUACAUAGAUGAUAUGCUGGUAAAGUCUCCACGCACAAAACACAUCGCCCACCUUGAAGAAGCAUUCGACAACUGGCGGCGGCACGAAUGAUGUUGAAUCCCGCUAAUCCAUUUUUUGAUGUCUUCUGGAAAGUUUCUGGAUCCUGGUCACCAAGCGGGAAUUGGAGGUGAACACCCUGAUCAAAUACAAGCCCUUUCGAAAUGAGAAUCGCCAUGAAUAUCCAGAAGUGCAGCAACCUGACGGGCAAGUAGCCGCCCUAACAUUAUUCGUUUCCAAGUCUGCGGACAAAUGCCGCCCGUUCUUCAAAAUCCUGAGAAAGAACCAGACUUUUCAAUUGCGUGAAGAAUCUAAAAAUGCCUUCCACAGCUGAAGAGAUCUCGGAUCCCCGCUUUAGUCUCGUCCCCCAACCGCCGACGAAGAUCUCUACGUGAUUUUAUCUGUCCUCGCCCAUCGCAAUAACGUAUACUAGUCCGAGAGAAGAUAAAAUCCAAAAACCGAUCUAACUACGUCAGCAAAACUUAAUUGGUGCCGAGGCCAGAUUCCGAGGAUUGAAAGAUCGCCUAUCUCUAACAUGAUCGCCGCCAGAAAACUUCGUCAUUACUUUUUCCGGCCCAUUCCGUCAUAGUGUUGACAGUCACCAUUAAAGCAAGAUUCUCACAACGACCAGACACUUGACGGGCAAAAACUCCUGAAAUGGUCCAUCGAGCUAGUGGCGUUUCCACAUUGAGUACAAGCCAAUGACAGCAAUACACGCCCAGGCCCUGGGCUUAUUUAUUGUCGAAUCCACCCAUAAAGAACACUCCACAACCUGAGUCGACUCCUCUUGAAGCAGAGGAAUUCCUAAAGAACCAACCUCAGAAAAAGACCUCGCCCCACUAGAUAUUGUACUUGAUGGCUCUUCUAAUCAUCACGGCUGCGUGCUGGGCUGCGUCAUACGAGCUCAUCAGGCGAAACAAAUGGAGUACUCCUACGAAUGGGGUUCAAAGCCACCAACAUGGGCCGAAUACGAGCCCUCCUCGCCGGCCUAAAGUAGUCACAGAGUUGGGAGCACAAUCUUUAUAAGUCUCUUCAGUUACUCACAACUGGUGGUAAACCAAGUCCAAGGAAUUAUCUCGUCCCAAGGACGCAAGAAUGAUAGCUUAAUUUGGGGCGAGGUAAAGGCUGUGUCCCGCAAAGAUCAAGGAGUUUAAGAUUCAUCAUAUCCCCUAGAAGAUACAAGAGGCAUAUGCCUUGCUAAUCUGGCGUCAACUUUCGAGUUUAUUUCUGACAAUUGCAUACCUCUGUAAUUUUUAUUAGCCAGUCCAACAUUGGAAUCGCCAUCAGGUCCUCCAGCGGACGAAAGCCGACAUGGAUGGACGAAAUCAUUAACUCAAAGAAACACUCCCAAGCUCGCCGUCUCCAAUACAGAUCCGCAGAUUUUGCAUUUUCAACGGCAAGCUAUACAAAAGGUCUUUUUCCAGGACCAAUCUUGAGAUGUCUUCGACCAGAAUAGCAAGAUUACUUCAUACUACUAGAAAUACACGUAAAGGCAUAUGCAGAAAUUCUCGGAGCAAGGUCAUUGGCAAAGAAAACUAUUCGCCAAUGGAUAUCUUUGGCCGACCUAGAACGAGAUGCGGCAGCAUAUAUAAGAGAUGCGACAAAUGCCAGAGUUUGCCCCCGUUAGCCAUCUCCCUCACACCGAGAUGUUACGAUGCCAGCCCCUGGCCAUUCGCCCAGUGGGGGAUAGACAUUCCUGGGACCCUACCCCUACCCCGCAAGCUCCUUUCAAAGUAAGUUUAAUCGUCGCCAUAGAUUAUUUAACUAAAUGGAUAUAAGCUCAACCUCUCGCCAAGAUUAACUGAGAAAAAUACCCGGGCUUCGUAUGAAACACCUUGUUUGCAGAUUUGGAGUCCCAAAGGUUAUCAUCUCGGACACGCAAGGCAGUUCGCAACGACAUUUCAGGUUUAAUUCUGCUCGAUCUCUCGCCAUCUCCCAUCAUUUCUCCUCGGCCUGGUCAUCCUCAGGCGAUAGCAAGAUUGGUAACCAAUCGUACCAUCCUCAGGAAUUUGAAGGCGGAUUAGAACGAUCGAAAACGAGUGGGCGGAAAACUUGCCGAACAUACUUUGGGCUUAUCAUAAUCUACCAUCCGGAUUCCUACGGGUGAAACUCCAUAUUCCAUGGUCUUCGGACCCGAUCAUCAUACCGGUGGAAAUAGGUAAUGCCACGCUUCAGGGUUUUUCGAAUUUCGACAAAGAAAACAUAGGCCUAGCUCAGAGUCAACUGGACCUCCUUGAGGAAAAAAGAUAGACCGCCUAGCUACGUCAAAUGGGUACAAGUGCCAAGUCCGCCAAGUCUACAAUCAAACAAGUCAGCCAAACAACCGUUUCAUUCCUUCCCCGGCGCCCUGUUCUUGCGAAAGUAACCAUGUUAACUAAAGAACCAAAUGCCAGGAAAACUCGCCCAACUUGUGAAGGUCCUUACAAGUCAUCAAGUCCUCCCUAUCGGGGACUACUGGUUUAGAAGACCAUAAGCGGAAAGGGCACUUUUCACACCCCUGAAUGCCGAGAUUUGAAAAGUACUAUCAUAAGAGUCCAUGAAUAACCCAUUCCGUGCCCUCACUAAGUUUAUUAUUCGGAUUUGUUACGAUUGCCCUGUUCGAUCGUCGUUUAUACGAGGAUUGUUAUCGCCAUUGUUAUGUCGCCUUGUAUAUGAUCGCCCAUAUCUUAUGUCGCAUUAUUAGUAUCAAGUCACCUAUAUCGAUGACCGCUAAUAUUGAGAUCAACCAGUUACGAAAAAUGAUAUCGCCAGUCCAAAACAAAUAAAGAUCGUCGUAUCGAAGGUCGCCAAAUUAUUUCAUUUAUUGAGAUCUCCCGCCAUUACUUAUGGUCGCCUUAACAUUCAACAAAGGACACGGAACAAAGAUAUUUUUCAUGUAGUAUAUUUUUUCUUCAAUGGACAAAGUUACAUCUUAAAAAAAAAUAAAAAAAUAAAAUAAAAAAAAUUUAUACAUUGGGACAACUCCUGAACAGGAUCUUCUCCUUCUUUCAUUCAUCGCCUCCUCUUCCUCCGGCGAAACUUGGGUCGCAUACGCCAUAUUCGCCACGUCGACGCCGAGGUUGGGACUUGAUGAUGAGCUGGCAUCUUGCAAACGCAAAGCCCUCGCUGAGUGCGUCUCAAAUCAGAAUCUGUAAAACCGCUGGCCUUGAAAUCUCCGGGCUUUGAAGUCCUCAAGCUAGCUCCUUGGCCUUCGGCCAGUUUAUUGUCAGUUCCGCCACAAUGGCCUUCAGAUCAUCCACCUCGUUGCCGGGCUUUUGUUCCUCCUCGCUAAGUCGGCCAGCUUAUUCUCCGCCUUAAGCUCGCUUUGAGCUUUUUUAAACCAAUUCCAGCUCGGCAGAAUCUGCGCGAGCCAUGGAAGUCUAUAAUCGUGGAAUGCUCUUGCUUUCGGAGGGCAAGAGAAGAGGCGACACGACCACCUCCAUAAACAUCUCAGUAUUUUUGCCAAAAAGAAACAACACAAGAUUUUCACAAAUACCUGACCAAGGGCGUUGGAAAGAUUUGGCGACCAUUCAUUCUCGGACAAGCGGUCAACCCCUCCUCCUUGUCGAAAGCAGGAUCAACCCCUGUGAUCAACCUCCGAGCAACAGAAGCGUCCGACAUAACUCGGUCCUACAUCGCCACCAGGGGAAGAGGUCCCCGCCUCGGCAGCUCAGCCCUCUGGCAUUGGUUUGCCCCUCUUGGGACUUGAAUCUUUUAGCGCUGGGGCGCGCGGUUUCCUUUCCUUUCAAAAGAAUCCACCUCGCCUAUUUCGUUACGGGGACGCCUUCCCUGUACGUUUCUUUUUCUUUUCUUUCUCCCGAAUAACGACCCCAUUUGUGGGAGGGCUUGGCUUUAGUCGCUUGGCGUACCUUCUCGGCCUUAUAGCCUUACCCCUGGUUUUUUCACCCAAAAGCGGGGCCUCCAGUCGAGCCGACAUUCUGACAUGGGAUAUGUCGUAUAAGGGAAGAAAAUUUAAACAGUUGGUUUUUUCUAGAAUAUACCAUCAGAGAAUCGGAGCUCGGGGGUAGCGUCGGAACCGAAAAUGAAACCGACCCUGAAAUCCGAACUGGAGCCGGACGUCCCAGAUAGGAAAUUCGUUAAACGGUCCUUUAACCCCUUCCCCCCCGAGCCACUCAAGAAGGGUUUCAUCAGGGGAUACCAGGAAUGUGCUCUCCUAACCGCCCCUCCAAUCCCGACCCCCGUCUGAUGACCUCCCCAAAUAUUCAACCUAUUCUUCAGGAGUACGAACUCACCCUCUUCGCCCGAGGUCGUGUUUCUCCGCCACUUGGUAUAGAGCGCCGUGCAACCAAAACCGCAAGUGUUUUAUUGAAUUUCCCGCGAACCCAGAACCUCGCACCUCGAGUAUCCUCCGGCUUAUCUUAUCCCGGGACCGUCUCCGUCCUCUUAAAGCGUCCACCUCGGACAGCGUUUUGGCCACUUGUUUGCACAUCUCUUCCCUAAAAAUUUACAUGUCAGGCGACAAUAAUAACUUUCAACAAAAAACAAAAUAGGACUAACCUGCCCGUUCCCCAAGAUCUGUAACUCGUGUAGUAAUGCUGGCGGCCGUGCCCGAAGGGAACUCCCACUCGUCCCCCUAGGCAAAAAAGAACCUCGUCUUCCACCCCUUCAACGCUGCUCGAAAAAGAUCCUCGGAGCAAGUUCUUCUAGGCCUCGCUUGAAGUAGUACCACCACCCCAAAUCGGGUAGGGGGCCUGAGUGAGUACAAGCAAACCUGGAUUCGUCACAUGACAUGUGACGUUUGAAGUGGCGCCAGAUCACCAGCGAACAUAUGACAAGAUCGCCAUGGCGUUGUGGGAUAACUGAGCAUGGCAAAUCUUGUAAGAAUCAAAAUUUUCUCCUGAUGGCCGGGUGAAUGAGAAGCCUUAAGCCUCCAGAAAAGCGGUCUUCGUAAAACGCCACCCACCUGCCUUGGCGGGCUAUAAAAUUUGUCUCGCCAAUCCCCAGGGUCCCGAAAGGUCGUACCCCUGGGAAAUGAAAUAAGUAAGACCGAGAGCUUGUCCAGUUCAGCUCUGGGACAUUUGACGUUACCCCUCCUUAGUAAGACUCGAGGUAUCCACUUUGGGAAAUUUGGUGGUAUUGGGUGGAAAUGAGGGAGACUGGCUCGUCUCGUCGAUAUACGACUUUUUCGCCCCAGAUUGAUCGGAUCUCCAAGAAGGCAUGAUUGCUCAGAUUUCUUCGCCUCCGAGGUUGGGCUUUGGUGAGAAAUAAACAUUGACAGUCGACCUAUUUACGGCGAGGUGCAGUUCCGGCCACUGACAGCACUUCGACAGCAAUGGAAUGUGUGUGAAUAGUUAAACCCCAUUUAUAUACAUACAGGGGAGGGCGUGAUCGAUCGGGCCCAACGGCCCAUCAUCACGCGACGUUUCCAUUUCCGAGAAGUAAAAAACGCCGUGUUCCCCGCCGACUCACCCAUCCUGCAUUUAAUUUCCCACCACGUGCUCCUAGAGCGAGUCCGUUGUGAUUUGAGCGCUCCAUCUGGCCAGACCAUCAUUGCACAAACACGUCAGCAUGGUCAUGCGAACAUGCCAGUGAUUCUCUGUGAUUACAAACCAUCUAUGAUUGGAUGCCUCACUCCUAUUGCUCGUUAACUUGUACUUCUAUAUUACCCAGUGCCCCGAAUUACCCUUAUUGCGCUAAACUUUGCUCGCCAAAGUCAAACACCAAUGUCGCCCAAAUCUUUGUAUCGCCUGAGGGGUAUAGUCUAGGUCACAGUUCGUUACAAGCGACUUGAGAAAUCUUUACAGA
rnacentral:lncRNA from 1 species